ensembl:ncRNA T23B12.12 ncRNA
CAAGUGCUAUGCACUGCGGAUCUGGGAGUCAGGUACACUGCCUGGUGGUGAUCCCUCUGGGCUGUAGGCAUAAAAUCUACCCAACUGU